rnacentral:tRNA from 1 species
GCCGCAGAAGCAUAGCCCGGUUUUGCAGCCGAUUCGUAAUCGGCCGGUCGAGGGUUCAAAUCCCUCCUGCGGCU